UACGUAGGGUGCGAGCGUUGUCCGGAAUUAUUGGGCGUAAAGAGCUUGUAGGCGGUUUGUCGCGUCUGCUGUGAAAAUCCGGGGCUCAACCCCGGACUUGCAGUGGGUACGGGCAGACUAGAGUGUGGUAGGGGAGACUGAAAUUCCUGGUGUAGCGGUGAAAUGCGCAGAUAUCAGGAAGAACACCAAUGGCGAAGGCAGCUCUCUGGGACGGUACUGACGCUGAGACGCGAAAGCGUGGGGAGCGAACAGG
rnacentral:rRNA from 1 species